CUCUCUAACCCUCCUCUCUCUCUAAGCAAAGGCGACCACAACCACAACGACGACGGCGUUGGUCGAGUGGUAACGGCGACGACGACAGCCUUGGUGGAGUCUUAACGACGACGACGGCAGCCUUGGUGGAGUCUUAACGGCGUCGGCGACCACAACAUUUCUAAGUUGAAAACUACCUCGAGGUGAUUUGAAGCAUAACGAAGGCCUAUAUGAAGAGUUUGAUCCUUCUGAACUUAGAUUGAAUGGUCAUGAUUAUGGAGAAGGAACAUCCAGGGCAAAUGACGAGGAAGAUCCAACUGAUGAAAAUGAAAUAAGCGAGGAAGAGUUACUUGAUGAAAAUGACACAAGUGAUGAGGAAGAAUCGAUGAAUGAAUAUGAAACAAGUGAUGAGGAAGAAUUGAUGAAUGACUAUGAAACAAGCGACGAGGAUUGAGUUGUUAUUAAUAGUAGUAAUGUGUUUUAACAAGGUAUUGAAUUGUAUUUUAGCUAUUGAUUUUUGAUAUUUUUCUUAACAAUAGUGUCUUUUCUUUGUUAACAUUUGUAGUGCCAGUAACUACGCAACAUGAUUUUCUUGUCUUGUUGCAUUUUCUUAUUACACUUCACUCAUCU